rnacentral:rRNA from 1 species
GAUGAACGCUGGCGGCGUGCCUAAUACAUGCCAGUCGAGCGAACGGACGAGAAGCUUGCUUUUCUGAUGUUAGCGGCGGACGGGUGAGUAACACGUGGAUAACCUACCUAUAAGACUGGGAUAACUUCGGGAAACCGGAGCUAAUACCGGAUAAUAUUUUGAACCGCAUGGUUCAAAAGUGAAAGACGGUCUUGCUGUCACUUAUAGAUGGAUCCGCGCCGCAUUAGCUAGUUGGUAAGGUAACGGCUUACCAAGGCAACGAUGCAUAGCCGACCUGAGAGGGUGAUCGGCCACACUGGAACUGAGACACGGUCCAGACUCCUACGGGAGGCAGCAGUAGGGAAUCUUCCGCAAUGGGCGAAAGCCUGACGGAGCAACGCCGCGUGAGUGAUGAAGGUCUUCGGAUCGUAAAACUCUGUUAUUAGGGAAGAACAUAUGUGUAAGUAACUGUGCACAUCUUGACGGUACCUAAUCAGAAAGCCACGGCUAACUACGUG